rnacentral:rRNA from 1 species
AGAGUUUGAUCCUGGCUCAGAACGAACGCUGGCGGCAGGCUUAACACAUGCAAGUCGAACGCCCCGCAAGGGGAGUGGCAGACGGGUGAGUAACGCGUGGGAACAUACCCUUUCCUGCGGAAUAGCUCCGGGAAACUGGAAUUAAUACCGCAUACGCCCUACGGGGGAAAGAUUUAUCGGGGAAGGAUUGGCCCGCGUUGGAUUAGCUAGUUGGUGGGGUAAAGGCCUACCAAGGCGACGAUCCAUAGCUGGUCUGAGAGGAUGAUCAGCCACAUUGGGACUGAGACACGGCCCAAACUCCUACGGGAGGCAGCAGUGGGGAAUAUUGGACAAUGGGCGCAAGCCUGAUCCAGCCAUGCCGCGUGAGUGAUGAAGGCCUUAGGGUUGUAAAGCUCUUUCACCGG